rnacentral:rRNA from 1 species
UACAGAGGGUGCAAGCGUUAAUCGGAAUUACUGGGCGUAAAGCGUGCGUAGACGGUUAUUUAAGUCAGGUGUGAAAGCCCCGGGCUCAACCUGGGAAUUGCAUUCGAGACUGAAUAGCUAGGGUACGGUAGAGGGAAGUGGAAUUUCCGGUGUAGCGGUGAAAUGCGUAGAUAUCGGAAGGAACAUCAGUGGCGAAAGCGACUUCCUGGACCAGUACCGACGUUCAGGCACGAAAGCGUGGGGAGCAAACAGG